rnacentral:rRNA from 1 species
CCUACGGGAGACAGCAGUGGGGAAUAUUGCACAAUGGAGGCAACCCUGAUGCAGCGACGCAGCGUGAGUGAAGACGUCCUUCUUUGUGUAAAGCUCUAUCAGCAGGGAGGAAAAUUACGUUACCUGCGUAAGACUCCCCGGCUCACUCCGUUCCAGCAGCCGCGGUAAUACGGAGGGGGCAAGCGUUAUCCGGAUUUACUGGGUGUAAAGGGAGCGUAGACGGCAGUGCAAGUCUGGAGUGAAAGGCGGGGGCUCAACCCCCGGACUGCUCUGGAAACUGUACGGCUGGAGUGCAGGAGAGGUAAGUGGAAUUCCUAGUGUAGCGGUGAAAUGCGUAGAUAUUAGGAGGAACACCAGUGGCGAAGGCGGCUUACUGUAGUGUAACUGACGUUGAGGCUCGAAAGCGUGGGGAGCAAACAGGAUUAGAUACCCGAGUAGUC